GAUGAACGCUGGCGGCGUGCCUAAUACAUGCAAGUCGAGCGAACGGACGAGAAGCUUGCUUCUCUGAUGUUAGCGGCGGACGGGUGAGUAACACGUGGAUAACCCACCUAUAAGACUGGGAUAACUUCGGGAAACCGGAGCUAAAACCGGAUAAUAUUUUGAACCGCAUGGUUCAAAAGUAAAAGACGGUCUUCCUGUCACUUAUAGAUGGAUCCGCGCUGCAUUAGCUAGUUGGUAAGGUAACGGCUUACCAAGGCAACGAUGCAUAGCCGACCUGAGAGGGUGAUCGGCCACACUGGAACUGAGACACGGUCCAGACUCCUACGGGAGGCAGCAGUAGGGAAUCUUCCGCAAUGGGCGAAAGCCUGACGGGGCAACGCCGCGUGAGUGAUGAAGGUCUUCGGAUCGUAAAACUCUGUUAUUAGGGAAGAACAUAUGUGUAAGUAACUGUGCACAUCUUGACGGUACCUAAUCAGAAAGCCACGGCUAACUACGU
rnacentral:rRNA from 1 species